rnacentral:ncRNA from 2 species
CUCGACCGUGGCGAUGGAUCCCGCCUGGACCGCCUCCGGUCCGAACCGCCCCGAUCCCGGGCUGAUGGUUCCUGACCAUUG